rnacentral:tRNA from 1 species
UGUUCUGUAGCUUAGUUGGUUAAAGCGCCGGACUAGUGAUACAAAGUCGUGGGUUCGUAUCCCACGAAACAA